UACGUAGGGUGCAAGCGUUGUCCGGAAUUAUUGGGCGUAAAGAGCUCGUAGGCGGUUUGUCGCGUCUGCUGUGAAAACUCGAGGCUUAACCCCGGGCCUGCAGUGGGUAUGGGCAGACUAGAGUGCGGUAGGGGAGACUGGAAUUCCUGGUGUAGCGGUGAAAUGCGCAGAUAUCAGGAGGAACACCGGUGGCGAAGGCGGGUCUCUGGGCCGUAACUGACGCUGAGGAGCGAAAGCGUGGGGAGCGAACAGG
rnacentral:rRNA from 1 species